AGAACCCCUGCAGCAAGGCAAUGGAUUUAGCCAGGGGAACCAAGGAUGAGACUUGCAUAAUUAAAAUUUAAACCUGUAUGGCAGAAACUGCUUAUAGUGGCUUCAGUGCCGAAAUUAUUACUUCAAAGAAUGCUUUAAAAUGGCUGUUAGUUUCAGUUCUAAUGGAUUCAUUGACAACUAGUCUUUCCGUGGAAAUGUAGGAAACAUGCUAUGCUGAGGACAAAUAUCACAAAGAUGAAAAGUUGCGACUGCAGGAAAUGAAUGCCUUAUUCUGAUCCAUAUGAGAGACACUGAAGGAGAAAUAUAACGAAGAGCUGGAAAGUGUAGUGUGUUAUAUAGUACCUGAAGAGGCUGUUCCAGCAAAAACAGCUUGCAUGUACUCUUUGGGAAGCUUUCCUGCCGAUCCUAUCAGACUUCCUCCUAUCAAACCAUCAGCUAAACCACAAACCACCACCGAUGUGACUGUCACACUAUAGGCUCCGUUUGGUCUCCCAAGCCAAUCUAUUGUUGGAGGCACCAUUGAAGAGAGAAAAAACAUGGAAAAUCCCAAGUUCAUUCUGAACCUGUAAGUGAGCUUCUUGCACCAACCACCCCUACUCAUGACUAAAAAUAGAACUACAACCGAAGAAGUCAUGUAAGCAACAGAAAAGACCUUCUCAACGUGCUUGGUUGGAUAGAGUUUGCCAAAGUAAUCCACAGCUGUUAUGAAAGCAUUCCAAGGAAGCAAAUUACCAGCACCAAGCAAAAAAUGGAUUAUAUAAGCAAUCUUGUAGGAGUCUCUCCGCUCAGGUUGAUCUCCAAGUCCUUUCUCACCUUCCAUUUUUUCCAUUGUUGAAGGUGCAGGCAUCUGAUUUUCCAACAGUCAGGUUUGGAAUUUAAGCUUAUUAAUAUAAGCAGCAAUCGAACAUUAUGAUGUGUCCUGUUGAUUAGAAAAGGCAUAAAUAAAGAAGCUAAGCUUGUAGAGCAACUUCUGCCUAGCAGCUGACUCAAGUUUUUGAAACAUAUGCUUAGUUACCCACAAACAUUAGUUCAACUUGACUAGCUAACCUGAGCUAGUAGGGGUAGUUCACAGUACUGGUUGGCGUUCAUAGAUUUGAUUGAUGGGUUGAUUAUGGAAUCAAUGAAGUUAAUGCAUGUAGAAAUUUUUUGCAGUGUGGGGACAACAAUGGGUGGGCUGUGUUAGAAGUACCUUUUUGUGUACUGAAACACAUGGGCAAGCUUGCCUGGCACUGUCCAGUUUCAGCCUAGAAUCUGAUUUAGAACUAUUACUAGCUAGUAUCAAAUUAUGACUAGGAGUAUUAACAAUUAUUUUUGGCCCAUUUUAAGUCAGGUCACAGGUCUUUUCUUGAGUGUCAAGAUCUUUCAGGACAAGUUGUAAUAUAUAUAUAUAUAUAUACACACAUCUACAUAUAUAUAUCAGGGACGCAUAUAUAUGUCAGGGACGAAUGAAAGGGGAAAGAAUCCAAGAAAAACUCAGCAAUAUUACUGACCACAACUUCAGUACAAAGACACGCAACCUGAUGCCUUAUAAUGUGAAAGUGGAAGGAAGAUGCGAAGGAGAAGAAAAAGAAAAGAUUCAAAUACACUCACAGCUGAGUCUUGAUAAUGCAAAGAUUUGAUAGUUCUCAGAAGUAUCUCUAAAAGGGGGGCGGGCUUCACUGGAGCCAAAACCAGUCCUGUCAAGGAUGGUGCUACAGCCAAAGUGAAAGAAGCCAAACUGUUUGUGAGUAUGACUAAGAGGUUCUUCACUCUGUAGAUUAGCAUGCGGAAUAUGAUUCCAUUUUCUCUAAUAACUCCAAGAAAUUGGACACUGUGAAGAGAGAAAAUAGUUAAUAUUCAAUUAUCAACCCCUUUGAGACAUGUGUCCUUUUCUACUGCUGUAUUAUCAGUUGCCAUUAUUAUUCUUUUC